rnacentral:tRNA from 1 species
GCUAACGUAGCAUACUCUGGCUAUGCAGAUGACCUAAAAUCUUCUAACAGGGGUUCAAAUCCCCUCGCUAGCU